rnacentral:lncRNA from 1 species
UAACAAAUCAUAUUCAUUGCAACACAAUCAUUUCUUAAAAUUUCAAUAUUCAUUACAACUUAAGUUCAACCCAAUCAAUUCUACCAUAUCCGUUACAAAAUAAAUUCUAUCACAACAAUGAUUCAAAUGAGUUAACACUUGUUACUCAUUCGUUCCUUCAAAAUGUGGUACAUCAACCAAUAUGCUCAAUAUUUUCUUCAUUGCCUUCACCAUAUAUCCUUCCAAUCGCGGUAUAGGUAGCUGAAAGAUUACAUGAAUAAUAAGCUUAAAACCAAAAGUACGUAUUAAUAAGUUUACAACACAGUCACAAAGGAACUAACAACCCAAUCAUUUCUAAAAUGCGUUAUGAAAGAAAAAGACUAAAAUCAAAUCUUCAAUUUCAAAGCACUAUUGGAGCACUAGCAUUUUCGGUGGUAGAUAACUAUAUCAUAACUCAGAUAUAAAAACGACAACUGCUAUACAUCAGUUUCUUGUCCGAUCUGGCAAGUUACCUGGGCCAUAAUAGUACACCAUACUGAACUUGAACACAGGAUUAAGGUAUUACUAAUACCACUACUAUUUUUUUUUUUUUAUCAGGAAAAAAGCGAAAUCUUAUUACUCAGGGUAUAAAAACGACAACUGGUGAUUAAAUUAUUCUGAAAUACAUUAGACACUUCAUCAGCCACCAGGAAUAUUCAGAAGAAGAUAUUUAGCAUUAUGCAAUAAAACAUAAAAUGCAAUCACAUACCUAGCUGAGCAGCCAAAAUGCCUAUUUCUGCAAAUCUUCUUCAAGGACUUUUGCCUAUCGUUUGAUGCUAAUUUACGAUGAUAGAACUCCUGCACAUUUGUGUAAAAUUUCACACAUUGAUAUACAUUUAAAUAUAAAAAAAUGCACUUAAUAUAUAUUCCAAAGAAAGGCUGAUAACAAUCUAAAGCAUAUUUUUUUAUAAUUACAAGUACUUAUUCUAAUUAUAGAAACCAAUAUUGGUUAUAUGUGCACUCUUUUUUCCCCAACAGUUUGGGAUAUAACAUGAUCUAGAGAUGGCCACGUAACUCUUAAAAUAAAGCAUACAACUUUAUUGAGUAUAAACAUAUUUAUAUAGAAUUGAAAAAAAAAAUCAUUGUACCUAGAAAAUGAUAUGUACUACUAUUUUAGGUCAUAAGAAGAUACUUCUUUCAUAAGUAAAUAAAGCAACACACUAAUUUAGUUUCUCUUCAAAAUUCACAUUUCAGCAAGUAAUGUGAUGUCAUAUCUUCAAUUUUAAGUAUGCAAUUUAAGUAUUCACUGAAAAAGUACGCAAUUUAAGUAAAGAAAUUUCAAAGAUUAAUAUUCAUUUUACUUUUGUAGAGACAUUUGCCAUAGCUUAAUGGACAAAUCAUACAUUAGACAACAAUGUAAGCAGACCACCUUAAUUAAUUGAAGAAAACAAAUAGAUCGAGUCUAACUCUUACUCUCUAAUGCUAUGUCAGGCAGCUUCUCGAUCAACCCAAAUCAUGGCCAAUAUUCCUAUAGUCCAAGCCUCUAAUUAAUCAUUCUUACAAAUAUAUUAAUAAGGCUUUAGAAAUACAAUUUCUGGAAUCAUUACAAAAUCAAACUAUGUUUUGGGAGUUAGCCACUGAAAUGCCCAACUAAUUUAAUCAACUAGCACAUAUGAACCAAAUCGUAUUACCAUCGUGCCAAAAGGGUAAAUUGAUUGGCAACAGAAAGUCAAUUUAAAAAGAAUACUACAACAAUUGAUAUCAUGUAAUUGAUUUGUAAUUUGAACUACUCAUAACAUUACAAUUAUUAUAUCAUAUACCCCACCCCCACCCCACCCUACCCCACCACAUUUUUGACAAAAUUCUUCAGAGAAUAAUUCAAAAAAGUUACAAUCUAUAUCUGCAGUAUUCUUUAUAGGACAAAUUAGAUUAUAUAAAAAACAAUCAUGCAAAAAAAAUAGAGAACAAGACCUUGAUAGUUCGCUUUAGUAACUUGUUGGUCGCCAUUUGAGUUAUUUAAAAGAUCUCCCUGUUGCAGGAAUUAUGGGUGAAAGAAUUGGUAAGGAAGAAAAUAGACAAAUGUAUAGCAAACAAGAUAUAUUAUAAAAGAAAAAAGUUACAAUCAAUAGCUAUUCCCUUUUAACAGCGUCGCACUUGCCAAUGUUCAUAUUUCCUCACCAUAAUUGUUGCCCACCGCCUGUGUCUCAUGUCAUGCCUUUAGAAUAUCUAUUAUAAACUUUCCCUACCAAACGAAGAAUUGUUGAGAACUGAAAACAAAAUUGAAAAAUGGGAUAUUAAAACCAUGACAUCUUGAACCAGAAUUAUUGGGAAGAAAAUCCUAAGAACACAAACACAAAGAGAGAAGAAAGAUCCGGAGAAUCACAUACAAAACAAUAAAAAAGACCAGAUGAAUAAGCAGAAUAGCAAUUUUACCUGAAAAGGGGUAAACAAAAACAGGUUAAAUAUUCAAAAUCCCUUGACAAACUAGGCAGAUAAGCAAAAUAACUCCAUAAAUAUAUGUAUAUAAUCAAUGAUAAUAAACAUAGUUUCUUCGUCACUGAAUGAAAUAAUAAAAUAAUUUCCAAUUCAUCGGAAAAUAAAACAGAGCUCACCUGAAACCCUAGUUGAGUUCUGUAAAAACCUUAGCGGCUGGCAAUAGGUAAAAAUGGCUGGAAAUUAGAGCCAGCAAGCGCCGCAACAUACGAGAAUGACCGCCGAUCCCGGCAUAACAGACUAGUUCGGCGGCAGCGGUUAUAAGAGCGCGAGAGAGACGAUUUUCAGAAUUUUUGACCAAGGGAUUAUUUGGUUUUGGAGGAAAAAUUAGAGAGACGAUUUUCAUUUUAAAUUUUCACCAGGGAAUUACUUUGGUUUUAGGGAAAAAA